UCGGAGCACAAAAUCAUUCACUUUCAUAUUUAAAAACGAAUUACGCUACAAAACAAUGAAAAAAGUGGCCGUCAAAUGAUAUUUAUAUAAAAGUUUCAUGUUUACAUUCACAUUUAUUUACGUGCCAAUCCAAGGGAAUAAAUAAUAGGAUGUGAUACAAAAUAAGCUUUAUAUUUUUUUUCAUGUACAUUUAUAAUGUAAUUGAGUGUUUUGAGAUUGUUUGUAAAAUUGAUUUUAGAUGUUUAUGGCUGUUUGGUUAUGAUGAUACCUAAUAAAAUUAUCAAAAAAAUAAUGUGAAUAUGUGAAUUUUAAAAAAACAUUUUGAUGACAUUAAAAUGUCUAAGGAAACUAAAUACAUCUAAAUUUUAAAAAAUAAAAAAUGCUCUCUAUUUACUUUGAUUUCUCUCUUUUAUGUUUUCAAUUGGCAUUGUUCUUUUUUUCUAAUUUCUUAUCUAUUCUGUAGUACAAUAAAAUUUAAACAAUUGUGAUUAGUGUGUUAUUUUGUAUUAUCAAUGUAAAUAUAUAUAUAUAUAUAUAUAUAUAUAUAUUUUUAUAAUCUUUUAGCUGAUAAAUCUGAUACAAUAAAUAACAUAUAACAAUAAUUAUUAUUCCUAUUAUCAUUAUUUGUAUAAAUUAACUUGUAUUUAUUAUAAUUAUUUUGAAAAAACCAACAUUAGUAUUGUUUUAUUAGAAAAAAGAAUAUAUAUAUAUAUAUAUAUAUAUGUAUAAUUAAACUACUAAAACUCAAUUCUAAAAAAUUUCAACACAAAGCCCUACAAAAAAAAUCUAUCUAUAAUGAUUACAAGAUUUCAAAUGUAACUUUUUUAUAUACAUUCAUAGAGAAAUACAAAAAAAAAUCCCACUUUGGCACAUAUUUUUAUUGUAAAUUCAAUGUUGUAUUGAAUUGGUUCACCUUACUGUAUUGUAAUGUUUUUUAUAACAACCCAAAAAUACAUGGUUAAUCAACUCCGUAUUUUAUAGAUUUGUUCUUACAAGGAAUUGAUAUAUUCUAUUACUUGCUACAGUGUUUUUCACUUAAAAGGACGAUUUGCCGUCACAUUUGCACUUCGGACAAAAGAACGCUCCCACCAAUUGGCAAUUUUCUACAACUACUUAGCAAUACACUGGAGUUUCUACUUCUAAACUUCUUUCUUUUUCCAUUACUUCUACAUAGUUUAAAAGAAUCAUCUUUACCACUCUGAGAUUGCAAAUAGAUAAUGUUAAACCCAGUCAACCAUCUUCCUACAGAAUAUCACAGUUAUACUUGUUUGAAAACCUUGUGCAGCAAAGAUCCAAAAUUGCCAAUCACAACACCCACAAAUCUAUUUUGUACCCAUUCUAAAACAUGAAUAAGUAUAUAAUAAAUAGAAUGAAACAAUCAAACAAACAUAAAACUAUUCACACCUUUCAAUGACAUUCAUAGAAACUCUAACAACAACAAGAUUGCCUCAGCUUAUGAUUGCAGCUUCUUUGCUAGUCUACACACUCGUGAUUUUAUUAUACUUUAUUUUAAUUUUGUCACUCAAUGAUUUCAUUUCAAGAUUCAAGUUGGCUUUGACUUCAUUUGGUUCUACAGAUUUGGAAACCAUUCAAUCGACUCAUUUAGUUUUAUUUUUAUUAAUAUAUCUUAAAUUUUUUUGUUUAU
rnacentral:lncRNA from 1 species